UGURAGAGUUGAAUCCUGMUCAGGAUGRACGCUGGCGGCGUGCCUAAUACAUSCAAGUCGAGCGAACAGAUGAGAAGCUUGCUUMUCUGAUGUUAGCGGCGGACGGGUGAGUAACACGUGGGUAACCUACCUAUAAGACUGGGAUAACUCCGGGAAACCGGGGCUAAUACCGGAUAAUAUUUUGAACCGCAUGGUUCAAUAGUGAAAGACGGUUUCGGCUGUCACUUAUAGAUGGACCCGCGCCGUAUUAGCUAGUUGGUAAGGUAAUGGCUUACCAAGGCGACGAUACGUAGCCGACCUGAGAGGGUGAUCGGCCACACUGGAACUGAGACACGGUCCAGACUCCUACGGGAGGCAGCAGUAGGGAAUCUUCCGCAAUGGGCGAAAGCCUGACGGAGCAACGCCGCGUGAGUGAUGAAGGUCUUCGGAUCGUAAAACUCUGUUGUUAGGGAAGAACAAAUUUGUUAGUAACUGAACAAGUCUUGACGGUACCUAACCAGAAAGCCACGGCUAACUACGUGCCAGCAGCCGCGGUAAUACGUAGGUGGCAAGCGUUAUCCGGAAUUAUUGGGCGUAAAGCGCGCGUAGGCGGUUUCUUAAGUCUGAUGUGAAAGCCCACGGCUCAACCGUGGAGGGUCAUUGGAAACUGGGAAACUUGAGUGCAGAAGAGGAGAGUGGAAUUCCAUGUGUAGCGGUGAAAUGCGCAGAGAUAUGGAGGAACACCAGUGGCGAAGGCGGCUCUCUGGUCUGUAACUGACCGCUGAUGUGCGAAAGCGUGGGGAUCAAACAGGAUUAGAUACCCUGGUAGUCCACGCCGUAAACGAUGAGUGCUAAGUGUUAGGGGGUUUCCGCCCCUUAGUGCUGCAGCUAACGCAUUAAGCACUCCGCCUGGGGAGUACGACCGCAAGGUUGAAACUCAAAGGAAUUGACGGGGACCCGCACAAGCGGUGGAGCAUGUGGUUUAAUUCGAAGCAACGCGAAGAACCUUACCAAAUCUUGACAUCCUUUGACCGCUCUAGAGAUAGAGUCUUCCCCUUCGGGGGACAAAGUGACAGGUGGUGCAUGGUUGUCGUCAGCUCGUGUCGUGAGAUGUUGGGUUAAGUCCCGCAACGAGCGCAACCCUUAAGCUUAGUUGCCAUCAUUAAGUUGGGCACUCUAGGUUGACUGCCGGUGACAAACCGGAGGAAGGUGGGGAUGACGUCAAAUCAUCAUGCCCCUUAUGAUUUGGGCUACACACGUGCUACAAUGGAUAAUACAAAGGGCAGCGAAUCCGCGAGGCCAAGCAAAUCCCAUAAAAUUAUUCUCAGUUCGGAUUGUAGUCUGCAACUCGACUACAUGAAGCUGGAAUCGCUAGUAAUCGUAGAUCAGGCAU
rnacentral:rRNA from 1 species